GUUGUUGCAAUGCAUAGAAUACCAGGGAAAGAAGGGAAUCCAAGACCAGUUCUUAUUAAAUUUUUUAAGAAUGGAUACCAAAAUUUCACUUCUGCGUAAAAAGAAGGCUAUAAACGAAGCACUCAAAGUUAGAAUUGGUGAUGAUAUAACAAAACUCAACCAGGGUCUCCUAAAUAGAUUGUACCAACAUGACAAUGUUAUCAGUUCAUGGUAUUUUAAUGGUCAUGUAUAUGGAUCAGACGAGGAAGGAACUAGACAUCGGUUUGAAAUAUUUGACGACAUAAACAAAAAACUGAAAAAAUAAAAUGUGUGUAUAAAAUCACUUGAACAUGCUUUUCAAAUUUGUUUGAUAUUGUCAAGUACCAUAUGUAUUUUUAUAUAAUUCCUGUUCAUCUAUAAUUAUUUUGUUGUCUACAAC
rnacentral:lncRNA from 1 species